AGUGAACGCUGGCGGUAGGCCUAACACAUGCAAGUCGAACGGCAGCACAGUAAGAGCUUGCUCUUACGGGUGGCGAGUGGCGGACGGGUGAGGAAUACAUCGGAAUCUACUUUUUCGUGGGGGAUAACGUAGGGAAACUUACGCUAAUACCGCAUACGACCUACGGGUGAAAGCAGGGGAUCUUCGGACCUUGCGCGAUUGAAUGAGCCGAUGUCGGAUUAGCUAGUUGGCGGGGUAAAGGCCCACCAAGGCGACGAUCCGUAGCUGGUCUGAGAGGAUGAUCAGCCACACUGGAACUGAGACACGGUCCAGACUCCUACGGGAGGCAGCAGUGGAGAAUAUUGGACAAUGGACGCAAGCCUGAUCCAGCCAUACCGCGUGGGUGAAGAAGGCCUUCGGGUUGUAGAGCCCUUUUGUUGGGAAAGAAAAGCAGCAGGUUAAUACCCCGCUGUUCUGACGGUACCCAAAGAAUAAGCACCGGCUAACUUCGUG
rnacentral:rRNA from 1 species